GGAAGCUUUUCUUCUGAUAUCCCAAGCAGACCUUGUGAAGAUUCUGAACAUAAAACUAGGACCAGCAAUCAAGAUAUACAACAGUCUAGCUGUGUUCAAAAGUUCCCUGGAUGUGUGAUAAUCAUAUGAUUGUGAUAAAAGUGAUUACAAUUCAGUAGAGUGCUCGGAUUUCUUGUUGUAUCCAACUUGUAGAUAUAUCAUCCUUUGUUAUCAAUCAUUGCUACAGCUUUCAUAGUGCUAUAACUGCUACUUGUAUUGUUAAUUGUUAUUGGAUAUUAUCUAUUGAAUUCUUUUUAGAUAGAUUUUACAGUUUUGAAUUAAUUACAGAUGUACAGAUAACUUUAAUCACAUGUAGAUACUUCAAGUUUAAAGAUAUAUAUGUAUAUAACAAGAUUUUUUUUUCUUCUUUUUUUACAAGGUAAACGGAUCAUGCAUGUAAUGCUUAUUUGUUAUUUCCGCUAGGUGGAAUGAUAUGAUCAGUCGAAAUGUUAUGUCUCUUCUUAAUUAUCUUCUGCACAUAUAAAAAGAUCUCUGCAUUCAACAGAUACAGUAUAUUCAUGUAUGUGGCAGUGAGAGUUGUGACGGGUUUCAAUUCAUUUAUUUAUACCACAUUUUGAGAAAUUGUAGUCCAGUGUUCACCAGUUCAUCAACUAUUUAUAGAAAUCAACCUAGAGAUAAAACAGAUUUGAAUUCACUUGAUCUGAGAGCCCACUCUAGAAACUGUUUCGGGAUAUAAUUAAUGUCUUUAUUAAUGAUAAUUAUACCACAUAUAUUUUUGAUUUUUUUCUUGAUGAUUAUCUUAUUAGAAUAAAUGAGGGUUUGAUUUUUUGGUUGUAAAAUGGAGUUUAAGGUGUAGCACUUAAUCACAUUGUUUAUAUACUUUACAUAAAAACAUUUUGUGUAAUCUGAUUAGCUUAUGCAGCAUGUGCUUAAAACAAGAUAACCUUUAUUUCUUCAUUUGCUUGUUCCAAUAGUUUGAGGAAUGGGGUAUGAAAGUUUAAUGUUCUGAACAAACCAUGGUUGUGCAAUCCUAGCUGUACUGAUAGUGCAAAUUAAACAAGAGGACGUUUUUGACUUUAUGUACAUGUUAUUCAAGUGAGAUUCUUACAAGGCUGGAAUAUUCAGGCAAGCCUACGGUUGCAGAAAUGAGGCUUUUUAAGAUUUUGUUGAAUUGCUAUGAAGUUUUACAAAUGCAGUGAUGAGAUGGUAUCCAUCUUGUAAUGGGUGACUCAGUAUAUGUAUCAUGUGUAUGAAAUAAACCGGUAUCAAACAGACUGGUUUACUAGUACUGUAAUAAAUUAGAAGUUUAAGGAGAAGUGCAGCUAACUCUUUUAAUAUUGAUUUGUAUGUAAGAGUCAAAAAACAAACUAGGCCCAUUUUCACCAUAUAUUUGAGACUGCAACAUGUCUGACCAAGUUGUUUUGAGUUGAUUACUGUGAAUGUGAAGUGUGAAGGUCAUGUAUAAUUGUUUUCCAUUCCAUGAAGCUGCUCAUUAAAUGUAUCAUGCUGUUACAAUUAAAUUGCUAUACAGUG
rnacentral:misc_RNA from 1 species